rnacentral:rRNA from 1 species
CAGUCGCCACGGUAAUACGUAGGGUGCAAGCGUUAAUCGGAAUUACUGGGCGUAAAGCGUGCGCAGGCGGUUAUAUAAGUCAGAUGUGAAAUCCCCGGGCUCAACCUGGGAACUGCAUUUGAGACUGUAUGGCUAGAGUGUGUCAGAGGGGGGUAGAAUUCCACGUGUAGCGGUGAAAUGCGUAGAUAUGUGGAGGAAUACCGAUGGCGAAGGCAGCCCCCUGGGAUAACACUGACGCUCAUGCACGAAAGCGUGGGGAGCAAACAGGAUUAGAUACCCCCGUAGUCCCUGUCUCUUAUAC